UUCAAAAGAGAUUAGAGAGCUGAGAUGGAAAUUGUUGAAUCUUCUCUUUUCCACUUUCAGACUAUGGACUCGACUCAGCAGGGAGACCCAGCCAUUGGUGAUGUCUCGAGAAGAGAGAUAAUCACUUCAAAAUGACUAAUGAUGCCUAAAGCCACCCGUCUUACUUCCUGCGGUGAAAUGCGGAACUAUUGUGCACGUCUGGGUCUGUAGGAGGGUGUGCUGCAAGCCUCCAGGAGAGAGAGAGUUUCCCAUCCCGGGCCGACAGUUGGGUCAUUGUUUGGGAAAGGGCUGCAGAUUGGACCACGUCCCCUGUGGGGAGGGAAACAUUGCUUCAGUUACGGAAGGGAAGUGAAAUUGGUUACCUCGCAAGCAAGGUGCCAGAAC
rnacentral:lncRNA from 1 species